rnacentral:ncRNA from 2 species
GUAGUAGGUAAGCGAUGGGGUGACGCAGGAAGGUAGUCCAGCCCGGGCGGUGGUAGUCCCGGGGUAAGGGUGUAGGACGUCACGUAGGCAAAUCCGCGUGACACAUAGUCUGAGACCUGAUGCCGAGCCGAUUGUGGUGAAGUGGAUGAUCCUAUGCUGUCGAGAAAAGCCUCUAGCGAGUUUCAUGGCGGCCCGUACCCUAAACCGACUCAGGUGGUCAGGUAGAGAAUACCGAGGCGUUCGGGUGAACUAUGGUUAAGGAACUCGGCAAAAUGCCCCCGUAACUUCGGGAGAAGGGGGGCCACGCCUGGUGAUCGGACUUGCUCCGUGAGCUGGGGGUGGCCGCAGAGACCAGCGAGAAGCGACUGUUUACUAAAAACACAGGUCCGUGCGAAGCCGUAAGGCGAUGUAUACGGACUGACGCCUGCCCGGUGCUGGAACGUUAAGGGGACCGGUUAGUGACCUUUCGGGGUUGCGAAGCUGAGAACUUAAGCGCCAGUAAACGGCGGUGGUAACUAUAACCAUCCUAAGGUAGCGAAAUUCCUUGUCGGGUAAGUUCCGACCUGCACGAAUGGCGUAACGACUUCUCGACUGUCUCAACCAUAGGCCCGGUGAAAUUGCACUACGAGUAAAGAUGCUCGUUUCGCGCAGCAGGACGGAAAGACCCCGGGACCUUUACUACAGUUUGAUAUUGGUGUUCGGUUCGGCUUGUGUAGGAUAGGUGGGAGACUGUGAAACCGUGACGCCAGUCAUGGUGGAGUCGCCGUUGAAAUACCACUCUGGUCGUGCUGGAUGUCUAACCUCGGUCCGUGAUCCGGAUCAGGGACAGUGUCUGAUGGGUAGUUUAACUGGGGCGGUUGCCUCCCAAAGGGUAACGGAGGCGCCCAAAGGUUCCCUCAGCCUGGUUGGCAAUCAGGUGUUGAGUGUAAGUGCACAAGGGAGCUUGACUGUGAGACCGACGGGUCGAGCAGGGACGAAAGUCGGGACUAGUGAUCCGGCGGUGGCUUGUGGAAGCGCCGUCGCUCAACGGAUAAAAGGUACCCCGGGGAUAACAGGCUGAUCUUCCCCAAGAGUCCAUAUCGACGGGAUGGUUUGGCACCUCGAUGUCGGCUCGUCGCAUCCUGGGGCUGGAGUCGGUCCCAAGGGUUGGGCUGUUCGCCCAUUAAAGCGGUACGCGAGCUGGGUUUAGAACGUCGUGAGACAGUUCGGUCCCUAUCCGCUGCGCGCGCAGGAAUAUUGAGAAGGGCUGUCCCUAGUACGAGAGGACCGGGACGGACGAACCUCUGGUGUGCCAGUUGUCCUGCCAAGGGCAUGGCUGGUUGGCUACGUUCGGGAGGGAUAACCGCUGAAAGCAUCUAAGCGGGAAGCCUGCUUCGAGAUGAGUAUUCCCACC